UAUAGCUUGGUGUUUUAGCAUUUUAUGUUUUGGUCAUGAAGGAGAAUUAGAUGUUAGCUAUAA
rnacentral:tRNA from 1 species